UCGUGGGGGUUGUGAGGUGGAUCACCAACCCCAUCAACCCUGGUGUCGGGUGGUUUUAAUCUAAUAGCAUUCUUUCCAUAGGAAAAUAAACAAUAAUUUAUAUCACCUGAAUGUCGUGGAUAAUUAAUAGCACGUGGUUUUCAGGUUUUGUGCCCUGUUGAUGGUAAUAGGCUCACCCCUAGUAUAUGGGAGUUAAACUGAGCGGCGAGCAGUAGGUGCAUAUUAUACAUUUACUUACUCCUUCGGGCAGUUAGGCAUGAUGCUAUCUCAUCUAUGGUGAGGGUUGUGAGGUGGAUUACCAACCUCAUCAACCCUGGUGUCAGGGUUACUAUUAAGCCGCCAAAGGCAGGCCAAAGGACAUAGCUCAUGUAACGACUACGUACUUACGUCAGUAAGUAUAGGUCUACCAGCAUCUGAUGGCAUAAAAAAAGUAAAAAAAAUAUUGAUUUUCCUAUGGUAAUAUUAAACUGUCUCCUGUCAUGUCGAAGUACAUGUUUUGUCAACAAUACUGAGAUUUUCCAAAGAUUCCUUGAAACUAUUCUGAAUUUCAUAAGAAUGUCGAAAAAAACCACUUCGAUCACAAGCAAGAAAGAUUGUUUACAUUGUUUAUUGUAAAAUUAGUGAAGAAGCAGUUGGAGAUCAACCGCAAUCUUCGAUUUUAAAUCGCGUCCAAAGUUGACCGGAGUUCCUAGCACUACCAUACGACGAAUAAUUGCUGAAGGUAGACCGAAUGGAAGUGUAUUUAGUGCACCCGGUAAAAAGAAGAGAGGUGGAAAGAAAACAAAUAACCAGGAGAGUUUUGAUUUGGAAAUAGCAUAAUAUAAGUGAUCUUUUCAUAAAUA